rnacentral:rRNA from 1 species
CGUAGGGGGCAAGCGUUGUCCGGAUUUAUUGGGCGUAAAGAGCGUGUAGGCGGCUAGGUAGGUCCGUUGUGAAAACUCGAGGCUCAACCUCGAGCCGUCGAUGGAAACCAUCUAGCUAGAGUCCGGAAGAGGAGAGUGGAAUUCCUGGUGUAGCGGUGAAAUGCGCGGAUAUCAGGAAGAACACCCGUGGCGAAGGCGGCUCUCUGGUACGUGACUGACGCUGAGACGCGAAAGCGUGGGGAGCGAACAGGAUUAGAUACCCUGGUAGUCCACGCCGUAAACGAUGGGUGCUAGGUGUGGGCGGUGUCGACUCCGUCCGUGCCGAAGCUAACGCAUUAAGCACCCCGCCUGGGGAGUACGGCCGCAAGGCUA